rnacentral:rRNA from 1 species
UACGUAGGUGGCGAGCGUUGUCCGGAUUUACUGGGCGUAAAGGAUGCGUAGGCGGAUAUUUAAGUGAGAUGUGAAAUACCCGGGCUUAACUUGGGUGCUGCAUUUCAAACUGGAUAUCUAGAGUGCGGGAGAGGAGAAUGGAAUUCCUAGUGUAGCGGUGAAAUGCGUAGAGAUUAGGAAGAACACCAGUGGCGAAGGCGGCUCUCUGGAACGCAACUGACGCUGAGACGCGAAAGCGUGGGGAGCAAACAGG